CUUUCUGCUCUUCUAUUGUUUUUUCUGAGUCAACUGGAAACUUGCAGUGAUAGAGAAAACCAGAAUCAUACCCACCCUAGAAAAGAGAUGCAAAAAAAAAUCAUCAAAUUUUUAAAAAUAACUUUGAUGGGAAAGAAUACUCAUACAUACAGUCCUGGGAUGUAGUGGCCAUGAGACAAAUGCAAACAAGCUGAAUGAAGAAGACACGGCUAAUGUUCAACUGGAUAUAAAACAAAGCAACAAAGCUAAUGCUAAUAAAUAUUAGCAUA